GGGAGGGGGAAACAAAGUUUCUUUAAAGCCCCAAGUGUUCCCCGUGUCAUGAACGAGCUCUCCUCCUCGGCCACGCACUCGGGGAAGGUGUGCCAGAUGCCCGGACGUGUGUCCAUCCUCCCCAUAAAUUAUGAAAAACUAUAAUGAAGAUAUCACUUCACACACAUCUCUGGAGCUCGCAGCCCCCUACAAGUCCCCAAGGAUAUGCACAUCCCAUUUGGAGAAGCUAUAGGGAAAGCUGUACCAUUGACCCAGUGGGAGAAGAAUCAUUUGCUUACUGGGAUCUAUUGCCCCAUUGGUAGUUUCAAGGGAUGCUUCCUCAUGCUGUCCAGCUAUUCCCAUUUUCCUACUUUCUGGAACCUAACAGCCACCAAAUUCAAAACUGCUCGGAUGCUGAAUGACGCAUAUCAUCAGACAAAUAAAAGCUGUCAGAAAGUCAAAGAACA